UUCAAUUUUUUGAGUAAUGAGUAUUUUUUAGAUCCUCCACAGCCUGACCCUGCUGCUCCACCAGGCACUACUAACACUAGUCCCCUGCCUAAUCCUUGGGGUGGAGCUACUGGAGGAAGCAAUUCUGGAAAUCAGAGUUCUGGAUCAGGCAACAACACUGGUGGUAGUGGGAGUGGUCAAAAUGCAGCCACGCCUCUCGGUGGGAGUGGUCAAGCUAAUUUAUUGGCUCAGAUGAUGGCUGGAGCUCAGGCUGGAAGUG